CGGUCCCCUGGGUCCCCGGCCUGGAGAGUCCCAUUCCAAGGGCGUGGGAGGGCGCCCGGGAAUCUGUAUUGUUCACACACAAACCCAGAUGCUUCUCUGGAUCAGGCAAGUUUGGGAAGCAUCGCCAUGCGCUCUUUCCUGGGUCCAGGCCAUGGGAAGGAAACGGGAGUCAACCCGCCCCCGGAAACCUGAAGCACUGCGUCAGAACCGAACGCCCGGAGCCGCCCGCCCCUGAGUCCAGGCUGAUUCCUCAGGCCGCCGCCGUCCGGGUCGGUUUUGAGACGUGGGCGGUGGACCGCUUCUCAGACCCGCCACCCGCCUCCUGCAGGGAUCUUCCUCCUCCCGGGCUAAGGCUCAGGCUGGCUCCUGCCAGCACAGCGCGCGCGCACACGGGGGAAAGCUUUGAAAAAAUGACGGCGUAGACGAGCUCACCGGCGGCGGGGCUGCGGAGCGGUUGGAGUUGACUCCCUGCAGCAGGGAAUCCCUCGGUCCCACGCCCGCUCCCCGCCCGCAAGCUGCGGCACUGAAGGCCAGGGACGAGGGCAGCGAGCGCGCCGCCCGAGAGCUGAUGCGUUUCCAGAGGCUGAACUAAAAAACUACAAGUUCCCAACAUGGGGUCCAGAGACACGUCCACAAGAGAUGCAGGAAAUGUUUCCUCUCCCUCCAGAGUGUGGACGGGCAGCCCCUCUCCUGGGGCACAGAGUGGGCCUGGCAAGUGGUGGCUUUAGGGCCCCCCACAUUUCCAUGGUGGAUGCUCGGCCUGAGAAAACACCUCGACCUCC
rnacentral:lncRNA from 1 species